GGAUGUGAGCGUGAUCUGUCUGUGACAUAUGCCACCCCAUUGAUCUAUUGAUCACCAGGGUUGAUUCAGCUGAUCUGGAUGGCUAGGCAGUUGUCCCUUUCCUCCCUCACCACUACAUGUGCAUCCCUCCAGAAGCUGCACUUGUUUGAAGAGGACAGCCUUCCCAGAAUAGAGAAGGACGGCUCUUCGGUAGAGGGUAUAUGAAUAGCUGUGCUCCCCUGCUAGAACCUUCAAACAAGCUAUCAAGAAAAGAAAGAAAAAAGAAAAGGAAAGAAAAGAAAAGAAAAGAGAAA
rnacentral:snRNA from 1 species